GAGUUUGAUCGUGGCUCAGGAUGAACGCUAGCGGCAGGCUUAAUACAUGCAAGUCGUGGGGCAGCAUGGUGUAGCAAUACACUGAUGGCGACCGGCAAACGGGUGCGGAACACGUACGCAACCUUCCUUUAAGUGGUGAAUAGCUUUCGGAAACGAAAUUAAUACACCGUAACAUUAUGAAGUGGCAUCAUUUUAUAAUUAUAGCUCCGGCGCUUAAAGAUGGGCGUGCGUCUGAUUAGGUAGUUGGCGGGGUAACGGCCCACCAAGCCUGCGAUCAGUAACUGGUGUGAGAGCACGACCAGUCACACGGGCACUGAGACACGGGCCCGACUCCUACGGGAGCAGCAGUAGGAUAUUGGUCAAUGGACGCAAGUCUGACCAGCCAUGCCGCGUGGAGGAUGAAGGUCCUCUGGAUUGUAAACUUCUUUUAUCUGGGACGAAAAAAGGCCUUUCUAGGUCGUCUGACGGUACCAGAUGAAUAAGCACCGGCUAACUCCGUGCCAGCCGCCGCGGU
rnacentral:rRNA from 1 species